rnacentral:lncRNA from 1 species
CGCUGAUAGGGGUUUCUAUAGCUAUUUUUGGGUUUAAAGAAAAUCGAUUUUUUGCAUUUUCAAAGUGCUAUAAUUUUCUUAGUUUUUAUCGAAAUUCAUUAUAACCCAGUGUUUUCGUGUUGUAGGUGAUGGGAACAAGCCGCUGGUAUAGUCAAUUCAAAUUCGAAAAAAAUCAAUUUUUGGUGAAAAAUUCGAUACGGGGGGGUAUACCCGAAAAAUGAAAAAACCCAAACUUUGAAGGCCUAUAUCUCGGCUUCUAUGGGAGCUAUCGGGAAAAUUCCAACGGCUUUGUCUUAGUUUCGUCCUUCUGAAUCCAACGAGGCCAUCCGCAAGGUCGUAGCUCCCAUAUUAGCUGAGAUCUUGCAUUUUUGUGGCCCAUUUUUGGGCUCAAAAACGGGGUCGAAAAUUGACUUUUUUCCGAAUUUUCAAAGAGCUAUAAUUCCACUUGUUCUGGUCGAAUUCCGUUAUAACCCGGUGUUUUCGUAAUGUAGGUGAUGGGAAUAAGCCGCCGAUAGGGGUUUCUAUAGCUAUUUUUGGGUUUAAAGAAAAU